rnacentral:rRNA from 1 species
GACGAACGCUGGCGGCGUGCCUAAUACAUGCAAGUAGAACGCUGAAGAGAGGAGCUUGCUCUUCUUGGAUGAGUUGCGAACGGGUGAGUAACGCGUAGGUAACCUGCCUGGUAGCGGGGGAUAACUAUUGGAAACGAUAGCUAAUACCGCAUAAAAUGGAUUAUCGCAUGAUAAUCCAUUGAAAGGUGCAAAUGCAUCACUACCAGAUGGACCUGCGUUGUAUUAGCUAGUUGGUGGGGUAACGGCUCACCAAGGCGACGAUACAUAGCCGACCUGAGAGGGGGAUCGGCCAAACUGGGACUUGAGCACGGCCCGGGAUCCUGCGGGAGGGAGCCGGUGGGGAUCUUUCGCAAAGGAAGGAAGGCUGAACGGGCGACGCCGGGUGAGUGAAGGAGGGUUUCGGAUCGUAAAGCUCUGUUGUAAGAGAAGAACGAGUGUGAGAGUGGAAAGUUCACACUGUGACGGUAUCUUACCAGAAAGGGACGGCUAACUACGUG